CCUACGGGAGGCAGCAGUGAGGAAUAUUGGUCAAUGGGCGCGAGCCUGAACCAGCCAAGUCGCGUGAAGGAUGAAUGCCCUACGGGUUGUAAACCUCUUUUAUAAAGGAAUAAAGUGCGGGACGCGUGCCGUUUUGUAUGUACUUUAUGAAUAAGGAUCGGCUAACUCCGUGCCAGCAGCCGCGGUAAUACGGAGGAUCCGAGCGUUAUCCGGAUUUAUUGGGUUUAAAGGGAGCGUAGGUGGGUUGUUAAGUCAGUUGUGAAAGUUUGUGGCUCAACCGUAAAAUUGCAGUUGAUACUGGGAGUCUUGAGUACAGCUGAGGUAGGCGGAAUGCGUGGUGUAGCGGUGAAAUGCUUAGAUAUCACGAAGAACUCCGAUUGCGAAGGCAGCGUACUAAACUGCCACUGACAUUGAUGCUCGAAAGUGUGGGUAUCAAACAGGAUUAGAUACCCUAGUAGUC
rnacentral:rRNA from 1 species